rnacentral:rRNA from 1 species
UACGUAGGGACCAAGCGUUGUUCGGAUUUACUGGGCGUAAAGGGCGCGUAGGCGGCGUGUUAAGUCACUUGUGAAAUCUCUAAGCUUAACUUAGAACGGUCAAGUGAUACUGAUGUGCUAGAGUGCAGAAGGGGCAACCGGAAUUCUUGGUGUAGCGGUGAAAUGCGUAGAUAUCAAGAGGAACACCUGAGGUGAAGGCGGGUUGCUGGGCUGACACUGACGCUGAUGCGCGAAAGCCAGGGGAGCGAACGGG